CCUACGGGAGGCUGCAGUGGGGAAUAUUUGGCAAUGGGCGCAAGCCUGACCCCGCAACGCCGCGUGAAGGCAGAAGGCUUUCUGGUUGUAAACUUCUUUUCUCAGGGACGAAGCAAGUGACGGUACCUUAUGAAUAAGCCACGGCUAACUACGUGCCAGCAGCCACGGUAAUACGUAGGUGGCAAGCGUUAUCCGGAUUUACUGGGUGUAACGGGCGUGUAGGCGGGCAAGCAAUGCAUAUGUGAAAACCAUGGGCUUAACCUGUGGCCUGCAUUUGAAACUGUUUUUCGUGAGUACUGGAGAGGCAGACGGAAGUCCUAGUGUAGCUGUGAAAUGCGUAGAUAGUAGGAGGAACACCAGUGGCGAAGGCGGUCUGCUGGACAGCAACUGACGCUGAGGCGCGAAAGCGUGGGGAGCAAACAGGAUUAGAUACCCUUGUAGUC
rnacentral:rRNA from 1 species